AAAAACAAAAGCAUAAAAAGAAAAAACUUGAAUCCAGAGUAAGGAUGUGGGCAUGAGAAGAAGGGAAAGAGCAGUAGUGCUCAUCCCUGCGAAGGUGAGAGACCAUGAGGAUAACCAGAGCAGAGUCACACAUGACAUACAGUGAUCACACAUGACAUACAGUGAUCACACAUGACAUACAGUGAUCACACAUGACAUACAGUGAUCACACAUGACAUACAGUGAUCAGGAAUGGAGAGCCACCUAGGGUGACCGCCCAGGGGUACAGGAGGAGCUGCGGGCGUGGCAGAGAAAGUGUGACCAAAAUGGAACCAACAAGGCAAAGACGCAGAAGACUGACUGUGAGAGAAGGAAGAGGGAGGAGAAGUGAGAGGAGUGUCCACUGUGAUCUUCCCAAGAGGUCUGAGUGUCCACUGUGAUCUUCCCAAGAGGUGAGAGUGUCCACUGUGAUCUUCCCAAGAGGUGUGAGUGUCCACCGUGAUCUUCCUAAGAGGUGUGAGUGUCCACCAUGAUCUUCCCAAGAGGUGUGAGUGUCCACUGUGAUCUUCCCAAGAGGUGAGAGUGUCCACCAUGAUCUUCCCAAGAGGUGUGAGUGUCCACCAUGAUCUUCCCAAGAGGUGUGAGUGUCCACUGUGAUCUUCCCAAGAGGUGAGAGUGUCCACCAUGAUCUUCCCAAGAGGUGUGAGUGUCCACCAUGAUCUUCCCAAGAGGUGUGAGUGUCCACCAUGAUCUUCCCAAGAGGUGUGAGUGUCCACCAUGAUCUUCCCAAGAGGUGUGAGUGUCCACUGUGAUCUUCCCAAGAGGUGAGAGUGUCCACCAUGAUCUUCCCAAGAGGUGUGAGUGUCCACCAUGAUCUUCCCAAGAGGUGUGAGUGUCCACCAUGAUCUUCCCAAGAGGUGUGAGUGUCCACCGUGAUCUUCCCAAGAGGUGUGAGUGUCCACCAUGAUCUUCCCAAGAGGUGUGAGUGUCCACCGUGAUCUUCCCAAGAGGUGUGAGUGUCCACUGUGAUCUUCCCAAGAGGUGAGAGUGUCCACCAUGAUCUUCC